rnacentral:snRNA from 1 species
GUGCUCAUUUUGGCAGCACAAAUACUAAAAUUAGAAUGAUACAGAGAAGAUUAACAUGACCCCUGCGCCAUGCAAAUUCAGGAAGUGUUCUGUAUUUUU